GUUUAGGAGGAAAGCAGCAGUUAAAGAGUCUUGGAUCACUGAGGAUCAGUGAGAGCAGACAGAGGUUCAUCAUGGGUGGUUUUUUCUCAAGUAUAUCUUCCAGUCUGUUUGGAGCUCAGGAAAUGAAGAUUUUAAUUUUGGGAUUAGACGGAGCAGCAAAAACCAAAAUUUUGUACAGAUUACAAAUUGGAGAAGUCUUUACUGCUAUACCUACCAUCGGAUAUAAUGUAGAGAUGGUGACAUACAAAAACUUUAAAUUCCAACUCUGGGAUUUAGGAGGACAGACAAGUAUCAGGCCAUACUGGAGAUGUUACUAUUCAAACACAGAUGCAGUCAUUUAUGUAGUAGACUGUUGUGACCAAGACCGAAUUGGCAUUUCCAAAUCAGAGUUAGUUGCCAUGUUGGAGGAAGAAGAGCUGAGAAAAGCCAUUUUAGUGGUGUUUGCAGGACAUGGAACAGGCCAUGACUUCCUCAGAGAUGGCAAAUUUACUUUGGCUACCUGUCUUGAAGGACUGAAAAUGGCAAUAUUCAAAACAUCAGCAACCAAAGGCACUAGCCUUGAUGAGGCAAUGGAAUGGUUAGUUGAAACGUUGAAAAGCAGACAGUAAUUCAGUCCAUUCUUCUCCCCUGAAAUGAAGACUACAUCACCUCCGUUCCCUUUGCAGUCAAGUGUACUUCACAACAGGUAUAUGAUUGCUGGCAUAUACUGACUGACUGCAAUGUUUGUAGUUAAUAGGGAAAAGAAGUAUUUGGUUGGAGGGCUAACUCAAUUGUAUCAACUGAAUGUUCUAUGUAAAGUAAAAUAUUCUUUCCUUGCUUUCUUGUGUUAAGAUAUAUAUUCUAUUUGUAUGGAAUUCUUAGUAAAAUACAGUUCUAUUAAAGAAUGUACUCCUAUUGGAUGAAGAAACCUCCUCUAUUUUUGAAUAGUAGUUGCAGCUUGUCUGUAUAAAUACUAACAAAUAUCUUAGCAGAUUUUUUCCCUUUAAAAUGAAUUCUCUUUCCAAAGAUUAGACUCAGUAGAGUAGGUAAGGAAUAUAGUGUGUAUAAUAUAAUCUUUGUUUGCUUACCUGACCACUUUUUAUUAAGCUGUUUUAUUUAAAAGCUUUUGGUUAUAGACAUGAAUAAUAUUUUGAUGGUUCACUGACUUAUCUGUAAUUGUCAUUUUAUAGCACUUUACAGUUGUCAGAAAAAUAUUACAUAUAUUGACCUAGUUGAUCUGUAUAAGAAGCUUGUGAGGUAGGUAGGACAGAUUAUGAUGUCUUCACUUUACGGACAUGGACCCAGGGUUCUAAUAAGUUGGCUUGCCCAUGGUCACCUGCUAGCUAGUAAGAUGGGAAUAGGGCUCAAAGUAAAACUUUUGGUUUAGAAGCUUGACUCAUAAACUAUACUAUAUAUCCCCCAAAAUGUCAGCAUUGACAACACAAUCUAACUCUUAAAUAAAAUUAUGCUAAUUAAAGUAGUUACAUU